rnacentral:rRNA from 1 species
ACGACUACAUAUCAGGCAUAUCAAUAAGCGGAGGAAAAGAAACUAACUAGGAUUCCCUUAGUAACGGCGAGUGAAGCGGGAAGAGCUCAAAUUUGAAAUCUUCAAGGUUUUACCUUGACGAAUUGUAGUUUAAAGAAGUGUUUUCUGUUGAAGUUUGGUAAAAGUUCUUUGGAAUAGGGACAUCAUAGAGGGUGAGAAUCCCGUAUUUGACCAUUAUUUUCAGCUGUGUGAUACACUUUCAAAGAGUCGGAUUGUUUGGGAAUGCAGUCCAAAAUGGGUGGUAAAUUUCAUCUAAAGCUAAAUAUUGGCGAGAGACCGAUAGCGAACAAGUACCGUGAGGGAAAGAUGAAAAGAACUUUGAAAAGAGAGUUAAACAGUACGUGAAAUUGUCAAAAGGGAAGCGUUUGACACCAGUGUUGUUUUCUCGAAAAUCAAUUAAAAAGAGUUGGAUUUUGUGUUGUAUUGACCUUAACAGCUUGCUUCACUCUUUUCCAGCUUUUUUUAAUGCACUUUUCGUUUAACAAGUCAACAUCAGUUUCUUUUGUUGUAAAAGGGUCAUUGGAAGGUGGCUUUCUCUUCGGAGAAAGUGUUUAUAGCCUUUGAUCUCUGCAAUCGGAGAGACUGAGGUCUGCAGCGUAGAUCCUUCGGGGUUAGAUACAUUUGUGCUAAGCUACAGCUUUUCAUAGACAACUUGUUGACUAUGUUUAGUCUUGUGACUUACCCGCUUAUGCUAUUUUACCUACGCUUAGGAUGUUGAGCGCAUGUCUCUCUCU